UUCAGUAGCUCAGUGGUAAGAGCUUCUAACUACAAAUUGGAAGAACCAAGUUCAACGCCUGUCUGAA
rnacentral:tRNA from 1 species